GCCUGGGUGGCUCAGUUGGUUGAGUGCCUGACUUUGGCUCAGGUCAUGAGGCUUGUGAGUUCGAACCUUACCUUGGUCU
rnacentral:tRNA from 1 species